UUGAGGGAACAGCAGAGGAGAUGUGAUUGAACGAGGAGUACUGAAGAGCACCAAGCAUGAGAGGACAGAUCUUUCUGAAUGGAAUGUGUCCUGGCUGCCCAGGGUUCGUGGGUUUGGAUCCCAGAUGUGGACCUACACACUGCUCAUCAAGCCAUGCUGUGGUGCUGUUCGUCAUACAAAAGAGAAGAAGACUGGCACAGAGAAACAUGGAGCAGAAAUUAUACAGAUCAUGAAGACAAAAUUCAACCUCAGUGCUGAAUGACAAGCUGUUUCAUAGAAGCAUCAGCUUGGCUGUCCGGGAUGUUCUCUUCAGGAGCAGGCUAUGUCACCAGCAGAAAUAAAUCUGUGAAUGCGAUUGAAGCCUCCAGAGAGGUUACCGUGUCAUGUUCCUAUCAACUAAUGUCAAAUUUUUAUAUGCAAAUAUUCCCAGUUAACAUGACUGAUGUUUUUCUAGGCUGGCUGGCUAGUCACUGCCUCUUUUGAUUGAUGUUCAUUAAAUCGAUGACUAAAUUAGCAUUAUUAUUAGAAAGUAUUUUAAAGUUCAAUUUGAUAGGGAUGUUAGCUAUUUAGUUCCUCUUAAUCUUUUCAAAGACCAUGUUAGAAUAUUUGGCAGAUAUGUUUCCAAGGCAGAGUCAAGACCUAGACCUGAUAACCUGAUGAGGUGGGUACACAUCAAACCUUUAAAAGCAUUUUUUUCACUUUUUUUUUUAUUAAUAUU
rnacentral:lncRNA from 1 species